GCUGUUGCAUCAACUGUUUCGUUCCAUAGUUUUUGUUUUAUCCCACUUGGUUUAUGUCUUAUGUGCGCAUCAAACACUUCAAGCUAACAAUUACGCUUUCUAGUUUUGUAGACAUUAAAACAAAUGUUUCACUCCAAUGUAGGCCAAACAUAUUUAAGCGGUAUCGCAACAUGUGCAUGGUACUUUAAUGCAGACAUUUCUAAGGCACAUAUGUAGUAUAACAUGUACGGGAAAAUAGAUAAACAAAACACUAUCCAUUCUUGUAAUUACAUUUCCCCUUAAACCUGUUCUCCUUACAUGUCAUGUUGACAAUCAUCUACAUUAUCUAGCUGUCUGGUAGUAGCAUUUUUGUAAAACUAACAUACAAAUCUAGCAUUAACUUUUGCCCCAAAUUUCUAAAAUCUAUUAUGAACUACAAACAAGUUCCAAGUAUUCCUUUUCACAUGAAUAUGAGCACACUUUUUAAGCCAUCCAAUAACAUUUAAUCAACAUGUAUCGUCUACAUUAUCUAGCUGUCUGGUAGAAGCAUUUUUGUAAAAUUAACAUACCAAUCUAGCAUUAACUUUUUUCCCCAAAUUUCUGAAACAUAUUAUGAACUACAAAUAAGUUCCAAGUAUUCCUUUGCACAUGAAUAUGAGCACCCUUUUUUAAGCCAUCCAAUAACAUUUAAGCAACAUGUAUGCUUAAAUUCCACAAUACUGACCAAUUACACAAAUGUUUGCUACUAUUUCAAUUUUUGUUGUCACAUCAUUUAAAGGUUACAAAAUAUUGAACUUUAGUUGCUACGACCUACAAUACUUGAAGAAGAGAUCCAGGUUUCCCAGACACCUACUUUCGAGGACAAAACCAUCAAUGAAUUGGUUGAAAUUGAUCCAGAUAUAUUCCAUGUAAUCACUUUAACUUCCUAUUUUGUUGAACUCAUUCAUUACAUCAACUACAACUCCAUCUUAUUUAUAGUAAACUUUUUUCGCGAAAUGCAGCCACAAGGUUAUAGAUGUACUAAUCGCUAUAUCACGCCUCACACAGGAAGGUAGAUGGUGGUUCCCAUCUUGCACUAAAUGCAACAAGUCUUCAAUUCAGACCUCUACUAAAUAUCGCUGCAUACGUGUGAUUGGACAGAAACUAAAUUUAGGCAUGUCACAGCCUUGCAUAUUCUAAUGCACUACAUGAUAUAGAGGAUGUUGACUAGCUUUCAGACCACCUUGACAAAAAAAUCUGGCAUCCCCACCUAAGAAGUAUGUUUAAAAAAAAGAGGAGAGCAAAUGCAACCCGAGCAACAAGUUGCUUCCUUUUUUACACUAUGUACCAUAGUCCUUUCUAAGUUCUAACAUUGCAGAACACAUACAUGAUCAAAACUAGCAGGCUUCAAAAACAUCAAAAAGAUUUUACAGGCC
rnacentral:lncRNA from 7 species